CUCAGAGAGAGGAAGUUACUUGCCCAAGGUCAUAAAGUAAGUGGCAACUGGGCCGUCGAGUCAGGUCACUGAUUCUGAAUCCAGCAGUUGCUUUCCAGCCACCACUGCCUUUCCUGUGUCUACAGCAGAUGCCACGGACAGGGACGUCCUCCUGCCAUCUGACUCUGAAGCUAAAGACCUUCCGGAAGAAGCUGUGCCUUGUUUGGUUGAAUAAAAAUGGACAACGGGUUAAAAGAACAGCAAACUUCCAUAUGUUAUGGAUCCCUAGGGACUCAGUGAACUCAUGCUCCCAGAUUAAAGGGAAGGGGAAAACCAUGCCCUCUUGCUGAACGAUGCUGCCUGCUGGGUCCCCAGCACCCCAGCGGUCUCCGGAAUGGAGAUCGUCAUGCAUGACAGCUGGAGAGCAUUAUCGCUUGAAGAUGAGAAAACUGAGGACCAGAGAGGAGAAGUCAUUUGUCCGAAUGCACAGGGAUGAUUUACAGCAGAUUUGGAACUAGAAUUCCAGCCUUUGGCUCCUUGUUAGAUGCUUUCUCUGCACUGAGUUUUCCAGGACUCAUCCCAAGUGGAGGGAAGAGAUUUGCUCAAUGGUGACUCCAGGAGAGUCCUGCAGAGCUCGGAGCUGCCAAGGUCAGGAAAUGGAACACGUGCCUUCCGCCCAGGCAAUCUUUUUUCUCAUCAGAUCAGCGGUCGUGCAGGGAAAAGGGCCAUCGACAAGUCCAGAGCACUGAGUCUCAUGGGCAUCUGUGACCUCAAGGAUGGCUGACAAGUGCGUCCUGGUGGAGUACCAAGAAAGAAGAGGAAAUGGAGCCUUUGUGAAUGGCUGGUGGCCUUUGACACAAGCUCUAAAUGGUAGAAAUUAUUCUUCCCAUUUCACAGUAAUGAAAGCUGGCUGAGCUGAAACCCAGAGCAUAAUUUCUCACUGGCUGGCUGCUCCAGAUAGUAAUAGCUUCAGUGCCCUUCAGAAUGGAAUUUUUCUGAGAUUGUGAAGCUGGGUGAGGUGUGCCUGGCAGGCCAAUGGGAGAAGGGGAGGAAAGUAAAUGAACUUCAAAGAGAAAUGCUGCAAGAUACUUCCCGUCCAGCCCUCCUGCCCUCUUCCAAAUUAUCUUGAUGUCUGUUUCAGCCCUAAGUCAACAUUUUUGGGACCCUAAGAGCAACUUUGAUGAAAAAAGUCUCCAGAAAAUUUGGGACACUCUUGUAAUCACUGGUCAAAAUAAACAGAAAAUUGAUGAGAAUGUGUAAGUGGUAGUUUUGAACAGCAACCAUUUUUUUUUAGUUCACGAUUUGCAUGUUGGCCAUCUGGGCUGGGCUCAGUGAGUGGUUCUGCUGAUCUAGACAUGGGGAUUGGCUAGCCUGGUCUGGGGCUCAAGUCAUGUGUCUGCAGUCAGCAGCUGGGUCAGUUAGGGGCUGCCUGGCCAUCAGCUGGGUGCCUUGGUUCUACUUCUUGUGGUCUUUCAUCCUUCAGCAGGGCACCCCGGGCAAAAGGGGGAACCCCAAAGAGCAUGCACUUUUUAAGCUUCUGCUUACGGCAUGUUAGCUAAUGUCCCAUUGGCCGGAGCAAACCCCAAGGCCGGCCAGAAUCAAGGGGUAGAGAAAUAGACUCUAUCUACCUCUUCAUGGGAGUUCCUGCAAGGACACGUUGUAUAGGAAUAUGGAAACAGGGAGGGGAAGACUUUGUGGCCAGUUUUAAAGUCAAGUUCCCCUCCUAUUUCAACCGUUCGCUGAACAGCGCUUACAACUUUUGUCAUGUUUACAUACCGUCCUUGUUAGUUUUCUUUAAAUCAACUUCAACUUAAACAAAAUACCUAUUUUAGCC
ensembl:lncRNA